CAAAUUCUAAAUUAGGAGACAUCCGAUGUAGCCCUCCUAAUCUUCACUGAAGUCGGAGAUGUACUUUCAGAGAUUAGUGGGGUCACUUAGGAAAUUCGAGGUCCAGUCAACUCAGAGAUUGAGCUGCGAGGGGCGAGAAGUGCAGCCUUCAGGUGUCUCCCAGAUCCUCACCCACUGGAGCGGCAGCAGAGGGAAGAGAAGGUGCUCGCUUUCACGUGAUUAUGGCUGGAUGCAGGAGACAUUGGGUUAUGAAAGGGAACAUAGGUUGUCUGUAGUACAAUGGGUACAGUAUCUCAUAAUGAAGUGGGAGGGUCUUCCAUUCCAACAGUAGUUGUUGAGAGACCUACCUGUGUCCACCCUGCGCCAUGGAGGGGAGUAGCCACAACUUAGUCUCCAGCAGGUUAUGGCGGUGAUGAAGACAAGCCAGGGAGAGAAGGCUCUGGCCUCGGUUGGCUGUGCAGGCCUGGAGGGCAGGGGGUGGCUGCACCCACCCUUGUACAAGUUGGGCACCGUGUGGUGGGCAUCCACGGCUUGUGGAAGGUGGUGUAAGUCACAGAAUGCCCACCAGUCAGGAGGAGAAGGUAAGGAUGAGAACACGUCCUGAGGACCCUCACCCACACCGGGAGUGAGGCGUCUCUGCUGACGUUCAACCUACUUCUUUAUCAAGGUCUUCUCGGGGUAAGGUGUUCUGUGGUGGCGAGGGCAUCCCUGAACUGGGCAGGAUUUGUGAGCAAAGAGGGCUUCAUCUUCGUAAGAGGAAGGGGCAGCUCUCUGUCCCCACAGUGGAUGGGGGUCCCCCAUGCCGGCACCUGCCGUCUCACACAGUCUUGUUAUGUUGCUUUGUUUUGUUUUGUUUUGGCUGGAAGUUGAUUCAUGGUGCAGCAUGACCUGGUGAGGGCAGAGGCACUCCCGCAGGAAGAUCCGGAGUGCCGGCACAUUUGGGGCACCAGCCAUGGACCAGACUGACCAUGCCAACUGCUGCCAUUGCUGCCGCCAUUUGUGGCUGCCUGCAGGCCGUGGCCUUCGUUUACUCUGUGCUUGACUCAACAGCCUCCUUUAUCGCUCCUUGGGUUUCUUGACUGUUUCAAGAAUUCCUUGGAAGGGCUUUACCUCUCAGGUUGGUCCCAAGGUAAUGACCAGCCUUGAUGGUCACGGACCUUUGAACUGAGACAGGUGAAAUCCUAGGUGUCGCUGGAAGUGACUCAGACGUCCCACAAAGUCCGUCAGGCCCCUGUUGUCCGAGCUCACGUGGUGGACCCACGGUCCUUCUGCAUCCAUCGGUCGUCUGUGGUCCAGUUCUGUGAGUGCUCAGGUGGCAGGAAGCUGUCACGCUUGCCCGCCACUGGGACAGCAUGUUGGCCUUGGGCAGGAGUCUCCUGGUCAGGGGCUGCCUCUGGGUUCUGUGGCCCCGCUCCCCUUCGCUCAUCCCUGCCCUGGGAACGCAGCUAUGUCCACAGCCCGGCUCCAGGCUCUGUCUGUCCAGCUCGGCUGGGGCCACGGGAGCCGUGGCAGCCUUAGGACGCCUUAGAAUCCCUCCUCUCAGGGCUCACGCUCAGGUGCUGCCUGAGGACAGCUGCCUCUCAUGUUGGUCCGGGUUUACGGCUGGUUUUGGUGGGAGGGCACGUAAGCAGCAGUUCCUCUGUCACAGCAGAAGGAAAAGCUCUCGCUUUUGGUUUUGACUUACUGUCCCCCUGCUCUCCUCAGAACUGAGACAGGGCCCCAGGGAGGGUUGGGCUAUGGGCCACGUGACAGACUCUGAUGGCGCCCCUCUAAGACCCAUGCUUUUCUUUCUGGCUGAGUUCUUGGCAAUGAGUCCCUGCCCUUCUUAUCCUUGGGGGCUCACCGCUGCUUGUUUUUCAUAACAGCUUUCUUGAGACAAUUCACGUAUAGUUCACCCAUUUAAAGUGUGCAACUCAGUAGUUUCAGCAUAUUCACAGAAUUGUGCAACCAUCACCACAGUCAAUUUUAGAACAUUUUCAUCACCUCCAAAAGAAACCCCGUGCCCUUUGGCUACCACCCCAAGUUCCCCAGCCCUAAGCACCCAGUAAUCUGCUUUCUGUCUCUAUGGACUGACCUAUUUGGGAAAUUUCAUACAAAUGCAAUUGUACCAGGUAUGGCCUUUUGUGACCGGCUUCUUUCACUCAGCACAGUGUUUCAAGGUUCACCCAUGUUUGGCAGCAUCAGUACUUAGUUCCUCUUUAUGGCUGAAUAAUAGUCC
rnacentral:lncRNA from 1 species